rnacentral:rRNA from 1 species
UGCCUACGGGACGCAGCAGUGGGGAAUAUUGCACAAUGGGGGAAACCCUGAUGCAGCGACGCCGCGUGAAGGAAGAAGUAUUUCGGUAUGUAAACUUCUAUCAGCAGGGAAGAAAAUGACGGUACCUGACUAAGAAGCCCCGGCUAACUACGUGCCAGCAGCCGCGGUAAUACGUAGGGGGCAAGCGUUAUCCGGAUUUACUGGGUGUAAAGGGUGCGUAGGCGGCCUGCUAAGUCUGGAGUGAAAGGUACCGGCUCAACCGGUACAGGCUCUGGAAACUGGCGGGCUAGAGAGCAGGAGAGGGG